CCUACGGGCGGCUGCAGUGGGGAAUUUUGGACAAUGGGCGCAAGCCUGAUCCAGCCAUUCCGCGUGAGUGAAGAAGGCCUUCGGGUUGUAAAGCUCUUUCGCAAGGGAAGAAAACUUAUCCUCUAACAUAGGAUGAGGUUGACGGUACCUUGAUAAGAAGCACCGGCUAACUACGUGCCAGCAGCCGCGGUAAUACGUAGGGUGCGAGCGUUAAUCGGAAGUAGGGGGCUUUGUGCGUCAGCAGGGAGUUCCCCGAGCUCAACUUGGGAACUGCGUUUGAAACUACAAGACUAGAAUAGGUCAGAGGGGGGUAGAAUUCCACGUGUAGCAGUGAAAUGCGUAGAGAUGUGGAGGAAUAUCAAUGGCGAAGGCAGCCCCCUGGGAUCAUAUUGACGCUCAUGCACGAAAGCGUGGGGAGCAAACAGGAUUAGAUACCCUUGUAGUC
rnacentral:rRNA from 1 species